rnacentral:rRNA from 1 species
UACGAGGGGGGCAAAUGUUGUUCGGAAUCACUGGGCGUAAAGGGAGCGUAGGCGGGUUCUUAAGUAAGGUGUUUAAUCCCGGGGCCCAACCCCGGACCGGCACUUUAAACUGGGAAUCUUGAAUAGUGGAGAGGUCAGUGGAAUUGGGGGUGUAGCGGUGGAAUGCGUAGAGAUCCCCAAGAACACCAGUUGCGAAGGCGGCUGACUGGACACAUAUUGACGCUGAGGCUCGAAAGCAUGGGGAGCAAACAGGG